UGGGGAAUAUUGGACAAUGGGCGCAAGCCUGAUCCAGCCAUGCCGCGUGAAGGAUGAAGUCUUUCGGGAUGUAAACUUCGUAAAAAUAGGAAGAAUAAAUGACGGUACUAUUUAUAAGGUCCGGCUAACUACGUGCCAGCAGCCGCGGUAAUACGUAGGGACCAAGCGUUGUUCGGAUUUACUGGGCGUAAAGGGCGCGUAGGCGGCAAUUCAAGUCAUCUGUGAAAUCUCCGGGCUUAACUCGGAACGGUCAGAUGAUACUGCUUUGCUAGAGUGCAGAAGGGGCAAUCGGAAUUCUUGGUGUAGCGGUGAAAUGCGUAGAUAUCAAGAGGAACACCUGAGGUGAAGACGGGUUGCUGGGCUGACACUGACGCUGAGGCGCGAAAGCCAGGGGAGCAAACGGGAUUAGAUACCCUAGUAGUCCCUGAGCGGGCUGGCAAGGCGCAU
rnacentral:rRNA from 1 species